rnacentral:rRNA from 1 species
UACGUAGGGUGCAAGCGUUAAUCGGAAUUACUGGGCGUAAAGCGUGCGCAGGCGGUUGUGCAAGACCGAUGUGAAAUCCCCGGGCUUAACCUGGGAAUGGCAUUGGUGACUGCACGGCUAGAGUGUGUCAGAGGGGGGGGUAGAAUUCCACGUGUAGCAGUGAAAAUGCGUAGAGAUGUGGAGGAAUACCGAUGGCGAAGGCAGCCCCCCUGGGUCAAGAUUGACGCUCAU